rnacentral:rRNA from 1 species
GGUGGAGUGAUUUGUCUGGUUUAUUCCGAUAACGAGCGAGACUCUAACCUGCUAAAUAGUGACGGGACAACUUUGUCCUAGUUACUUCUUAGAGGGAUUAGUGGUGUUUAGCCACACUAGAUUGAGCGAUAACAGGUCUGUGAUGCCCUUAGAUGUCCGGGGCUGCACGCGUGCUACACUGGAAGAAUCAGCGUGUUUUUCCAUUGCCGAAAGGUAUUGGUAAACCGUUGAAACUCUUCCGUGGCCGGGAUAGGGAAUUGAAAUUAUUUCCCUUAAACGAGGAAUUCCUAGCAAGUGUGAGUCAUUAGCUCACGUUGAUUACGUCCCUGCCCUUUGUAC